UUGAUGCUGAUGCUACCUGAUGAGUUGAUAUUCCAAGGAUUAAAGGAACUCAGGUUACAGCUAGGAGAUGAAAAUUUUGAGAAUCUUUAGCAAGUAUCGGCUAAGGGCCCAGGGCUGGAUUUUGCUUUAAUAGCCUAAUCUGGGUAAGGGGUAGCAUGCAGCCUUCUCUGCUCCCGGGGGAGGCAGUCAUUUGUUCCUGGCUCAUAGGAGAUUACUAAUCCCCCCUCAGAAAAACCAAGUUCAUUCUCACAUAUUGCUCCAUUUGCUCACGUAUCUCCCUCACGCAUCAUCACAUUCGCCUCAAUUUAGAUUCAUUCUCUGCAGCAAACUUAUGUUAAAUGCAUAACCAGAAUGCAGUAGGAAUGGCAGCUGGAAAGGAAAGGACCCUGUACCCAGCAAUUCUGCUUUGGUAAAGCUUUGGCUUAUCCCUGAACCCUGGUAUUUAUCUUGGAUUUCACUUCAUCCUACACCUAUUCUCCUGCCCUAUGGUGCUCCCAAUUCACUCUCCAGCCUCCUUUCAACCCCUUCAUACCAUGUUUGGAAUAGCUUCAGUUUCUGCAUGCCAAGCAUCCACCUUACAUUGACUCAUUUGUAGAACCCUGAAAAUCUGCAGAUGUCCACUUUAUAUCCAUGGACCACAUUUGCAGAUUGCGGAUCAGAUGUGGAUACAAAUUUUGUAUCCGCGCAGGGCUAUAUUCCUUGGUACAAUGUUACCAGCUGUGUAAUAAUAUUUGAUGUUUUUCUUGAAGCUCCAGUUCCUGGAGUCCAGGAAACAAUUUGAGACUCUCAGCAUUCAUUUAAAAAAAAAAAAAGGUCUACCCAGUAGAAUUACUUAAGCCUGGUCUACACUAACAAGCAUUCUCCCCAGCUGUUGUCCGCAUUAUGGAUGGUCGGCUCUCCAGGGAACAGACUGCGCCUUCCCACAGGUUAGUACAGUGCCUAGCACAAUGGAGACCUGAUCUGACCAGCAAUAAAUAGCUACAGUCAUACUGAUGAUGGCCGUA